ensembl:lncRNA
GGCUCCGUCAGGGGCUGCCGGGGCCAGGGGCCACUCACCCCUGCCCCUGCGCCCCCCCCCCACCGUGUGCCCACCGCCAGCAGCCGUCGCUGGAAGGCCAGCCCAGACUGUCCUGACUUCAACAGACGGUCACACAUUUCAUGGUCACAGCCCCCCCCCCCCACGACUGGGCCCUCACUCCACCCACGCCGUGCAGCCCCACACCCCAGUACUGUCUCGGUGGGCACCAGAGCCCCCUCCUUAGGCGACCGUUCCCCUGGGAAACUGCUGUUGGAUAGUCCCGGCUCAGAGCCAGGCGCAGGCAGGCCCGCGUCCAGAGCAACGGGGAGGGGGAUUGGUCCCCAUCAGCACGCUGUCACCACAGAAACCAAGAAGCUGCCUUUGUCCCCAGGCGGGUGGAAUGAGCCAGUGACGGAGAGGCCCCGGGUGACCGGGGAGGGAAGAUGCAGGGGGCCCUGGACAGCCUAGCAGCAGGACGGGACGGAGACCAGCGCCCGCGUCUCCGGUUCCGGGGCCCCGCUGCCCCUCGGAGCGUGGCCCUCCCGAGGUGGACGCAGCCUGCGGCCUGUUCCAGUCGCCUGCUGCUGGGACCCGACCCCGCUCCCGGCCGCUGAAGACCACACCCGCCACCUCGCGGCGUCCACGCUCAGGAAUCGAGUCACAGCCGCGGGCAGCGCUGGGCAGGGAGGCCCACGUCCCUCGCAGGGAAGAACCACCACUCGGCGCCUCCAUCCCUCCACCACGGGCUCCAACAGCGUCAUCCAGCAGACAGGGGCCUUGGACACCACUCCGUCCCUGGGCCUCCCUGCCCCUCCCGCCCCCCGGGCCGAGAGCCUCGCCCUGCCCUGCCAUCCGGAGAGUCCCCGUCUUCUCCAAUCGUGGGGCCAAGGAAGGAGGAGGGGGGGCCCGUGGAAAAGUGGGAGGCAGGGAAAGCAGAGGCCGUGGUGCGGCUGGUGAGGACCACCCUGCCAGGACUCCGGACGACCCUGUCACCGCGGGAGAGCCUCAGCAGGCGGCCCAGGAACACAGGCUCUUCCAGGAGGAAGCAGCCAAGCAGGGAAAGGCCUCCUCGGGUGACCCGGCUCCAUUUGUCCUCGGGCGCGUGCUCACACUCAGGGUCACGCCCUCCUGUGCGUCCGUCACAUCUCGGGUGAUAACUGGGGCAUCCCGCGUGGGCUGGCCUGGCUCGGCUCAGAGGACCAUUUGUCUGGAGAUGUAAGACCACUUGGAGCUGACAACAACGUGCCUCCCCGAGUCGGUGCCUCCCGGGGCACCCCGCUCACCUCCAGGCUUUCUCUGGGAAGGUGCUUCGUGGGCAGGGAGCCCAGGACCCCCCCCCCACACUUUGCCCAGAGGCCUCAGAGGUGGCGAGAGGCGUCCUGCCCCUGCACCCCCCUGCCUCCCCGCCGUGCCCACCCGGGGCACGAGGCAGAGCCGGAGCCUGGAAGACGUGCCAGGAAGAAGUAAGGGAGACGUGUGUGUGGGUGGGGAGGGGGCCUAGAGGCCACCCUGGGGGCAAACCGAGGUCCCCGUCGAAGCUGUUCUGGCCAAAAGGGGCUGGAGGGUCAUGGUGUCCGACAGAAGAAGGGGAAUCGGAAGGGGCCCCCGGACGUCCUGAGGGUCAUGCUCGCAGGGUUACAGGAUGCUCUCCUCCCUCGGGGCCUGGACACCCCCUCACGGGCCCUGGACCCGCUUGUCCUGCUCUCUUACAGGGUCCACUCUGGUCCGAUGCCCUGGGGGCCGCCGGCAGGGGCUGAGGACAGAAAUGGCGCUCGGGAUGGCGAGUUCACACGUGAAAGGAGCUGAAUGUCUGGACAAAGGCCUCCCGCCGUGGCAGGUGGCCCCCGACCCCGUCACCAAGUCACCACGAUGAUCUGCAGAGCCAGCCCGGCCAGCUGGGCCUCCGGGGCACUGGCUGCUUUGGACUCGCCUCCCUGGCGGACCAGCUGGCCCUUGGGCACCCGCCGUCUGGUUUGCGGAGUGGUGGCCCUGAGUCCCCGAGGGGCGGUCGGUGGGAGAUGUCCACCCUGUGUCCCCACCCACACCUGUUUCCAGCCUCCUUUCUUCCUCUGUGUCAUGUUAUUCCUUGUCUUUCACUUUUUUUUAAUCUGAGACAGACAGAAAGAGAGAGAGAGAGAGAGAGAGAGAGCACCCAAGCAAGUAGGGGUGCAGAGAGAGGGAGAGAGAGAAUCCCAAGCAGCCUCGGCGCCCAGCGUGGAGCCCAGUGCGGGUCUCGAUCCCACAACCACGAGUUCAUGACCCGAGCCGACAUCGAGCCCAAUGCUUAACCGACUGAGCCACCCGGGCGUCCCCUGGUCCUUUACGUUUUAAAAUAAACUGGAGAAUUUCCUUGAUGUGUCUGUGGGG